CUUCCUUCCUCAGGAGCUCCACAGACCUGGCUGGCUGAAUUCAGCAGGACUGGGGCAGAGAUGCUGGAGGCCACAGCCCAUAUGCUCCUUUCAACACUGAAGGCUCCUUGGAGGACCAGGAGCACAGAGAUUCCACCUGGACCAGCAGGAAAAGGGUCAUCCUCCAGUGAGUGCCCUGAAACCUCAGGUCUGCUACUGCCCUGUACACAUUUCUUUGGAGUAGGCAGCUGGGGUCAAGCUUGGUUGAAAAAA